AGCUCUGAAUCUGGUUUGCUACUCAGGUUCUGGACACCAUGGCAAUGUCGACGAGGAUACGGAGACUGAUGGAUGGACGCCCUGUAAUUUGGUGGCUUCUUGAAUUACGGAAGAUGCAAACGCUGUGUGGCCUCUUCAAUGAGCCGGCAAUCCCUUUCCAAGGCAUUGAGUGUAUGCUGCACAGUCUGGCUGAUGGUCUUCUCAAUGGUGCGACAGACCUCCUCAAUCUGAUUAACGCACCGACUCGGCUAAGGCUCACCAGUUGAUAAAGCUGCUCUUCCCAGCACUGUGGUUGCCCAUCACCAUGACCGUCACUCUACGGCGAGGGGGAAGCAGGGUCAGUCCCAGGCGCUCUCCUAUGGACACCAAACCUGGGAACAAAGCGGGGAAGUUAUGCUGACACUUGAUCCCUCGCAUCCUGGAUAUAAACUGUUUCAACUCCUACCCUCAAAACGACGCUAUAGAGCACUGCACACCAGAACAACUAGACACAAGAACAGUUUUUUCCGGAAGGCCAUCACUCUGCUAAACAAAUAAUUCCCUCAACACUGUCAGACUAUUUACUGAAUCUGCACUACUAUUAAUCGUUUCAUAGUUCCCAUCGCCAAUCUCUUUCCACUUAUGACUGUAUGACUAUAACUUGUUGCUGGCAAUCCUUAUGAUUUAUAUUGAUAUAUUGAUCAUCAAUUGUGUUGUAAAUGUUGUACCUUGAUGAACGUAUUUUUUCUUUUAUGUACACUGAGAGCAUAUGCACCAAGACAAAUUCCUUGUGUGUCCAAUCACACUUGGCCAAUAAAAUUCUAUUCU